rnacentral:rRNA from 1 species
GAAUUCACUAGUGAUUCAGGCCUAACACAUGCAAGUCGAGCGAGCUUGCCUAGAUGAUUUUAGUGCUUGCACUAAAUGAAACUAGAUACAAGCGAGCGGCGGACGGGUGAGUAACACGUGGGUAACCUGCUCAAGAGACUGGGAUAACACCUGGAAACAGAUGCUAAUACCGGAUAACAACACUAGACGCAUGUCUAGAGUUUGAAAGAUGGUUCUGCUAUCACUCUUGGAUGGACCUGCGGUGCAUUAGCUAGUUGGUAAGGUAACGGCUUACCAAGGCAAUGAUGCAUAGCCGAGUUGAGAGACUGAUCGGCCACAUUGGGACUGAGACACGGCCCAAACUCCUACGGGAGGCAGCAGUAGGGAAUCUUCCACAAUGGACGAAAGUCUGAUGGAGCAAGGCCGCGUGAGUGAAGAAGGGUUUCGGCUCGUAAAGCACGGGUGGUAGUGAAGAAAGAUAGAGGUAGUAACUGGCCUUUAU